CAGAGGGGGCAAGCGUUAUUCGGAAUUAUUGGGCGUAAAGGGCUCGUAGGCGGUGUUUUAAGUGAGAUGUGCAAUCCCCGGGCUUAACCUGGGAACUGCAUCUCAGACUGGAACGCUAGAGUGCUGGAGAGGGUGGUAGAAUUCCACGUGUAGCGGUGAAAUGCGUAGAGAUGUGGAGGAAUACCAGUGGCGAAGGCGGCCACCUGGACAGUAACUGACGCUGAGGAGCGAAAGUGUGGGUAGCAAACAGGAUUAGAUACCCCGGUAGUCCUAGCCCUAAACGAUGAAUGCUUGGUGUAACGGGUAUCGAUCCCUGUUGUGCCGAAGCUAACGCAUUAAGCAUUCCGCCUGGGGAGUACGGUCGCAAGGCUG
rnacentral:rRNA from 1 species